GGGAGGAAAGGUUUCAGGAUUGGGGACUAAGGAAUAUAAGCUUCUAACAGCUCAUAGCGAAGCGAUGCAGAUACCGCGGCAGCCAUCGUGGAGAGUCAGCCAACUCCGUUCCGAGUGCUGUCAUCGUACAUGGCCUACGAAAGGCAAGAACCGCCGGAUGAGCUGGUAAGAAGACUGGUACAAGACAGCGAAAAACAAAACAUAGGCCUCCUAGUAGGCUGUGACGCAAACGCCCACCACACACAAUGGGAAAGUACAAACACAAACGACCGCGGAACCAAAAGAGAGGUUCGCGGGCAGAGGAGGACAACGACAAUGCGACUAAUUUUGUAGGAGCGACAACGUACUGAAGGAUCUGCAAACAGCGUUCGAGAAGCAGACGGAGGAGCUUCAGGACUACGCCGCGGAGAGAGAAGAGGAGUGGAUCUUCAGCGUCAGGCGUCAGCUGUCGGAGCUCAAGCUGCGGUUUGGGCACAGCUGGUCCAGGGACUAUGUGCUCAGCCUCCAGCAGCGAUCACAAUGCACAACAAAGGCCAACAACUUAUAAGUGGAAAUAAAGAUGCUUAUUUAAUUACAUUGCAACACAUACAACAAACAGUUGAUCUUGAACAAAUGAAGUGUGAUCAAAUUACACAUCAAUAAUCUGUUUGAUACCGGGUCAAAUUUAUUUAGUUUUUUGUUAAAAUUUGUAUCUGAAAUACUCUUUAAAUUUUUCAGAUGAAUCAUUUCUAGACCAUUAAAACAGUUUUAAAACCUAACAAAACACAUGCAGUUUAUACUACUGACACAAUUUUUUCAACUAACGGAAACACCUAACAAAUCACCAGACAUCAUACACAUAGAUUUUCACUCGAUUAACCACUACACAAUCCCAUCUCGGGAUUCCAUUAACAGCACUAAACACAUGACAUUCUUCUUCAAGACCCAUGGUAUCCCUAAAACAAUAGUGUGUAAACCAAGCCCUUACUUCGCACGAUUUCUCAUCAGAAAAUUUUGCAACCAAUACAAGAUAAUUCUACAUAUAACAUCUUUUCAAUAAUCUAGUAGCAAUGCCCCAGUAAAGAGAUUACAUUCAUCCCUGAGGGAAAUCUAUAGGACAAUUUUCGAUAAGAAAAAAACCUUAGAACUUAAUCUAGACCACGACUAGACGGUAGCGGAAACAUUUAUAACGUAUGACAACGCGAUACAAUCUACCACAAAAUUAACACCUUACGAAGUUUUUACAGGACGAACCCACACCUUUGAGCAGAAUUACAAGGCAGAUAGUCACUAAGACUACCUAAGGGAAAUAGACAGCUUCAAGCCCCAUUAUAUAAGUUUGAGAAAAAAAAACUAAGUGAAAUCCAAAAAUUAAGUGAAACCAGGGCUCAACCGGUGGCGGUAGAAGAGGGAGAUACAGCUUUCAGAAAAGAAAACAGAAGGAACAAACUGACACCCCGAUUCGCAAGCCACAAUGUUGCAAGUGAUAACGGGAUAACAUUCACGACUAGCAAAAGACAAAAGAUCCACAAAUCCAAUAUUAAAACAAGAGAGAACGUAAAAGUGAAAAAUAUCAAAACAUUUUUCAAAAGUA